AUGGGAAGGUGUAGAGGACGAGGAGGGGAGCUACGGCAUGGUUCCCCCCGCGCCCCUCCCGGAUAAUGGCACCGCCCGGCAGCACGUCACCGCCGCUCGCCGCGCCCUGCUCUCUUCGCUAUGUGGCGCGCCAUCGCCCGCCCCCUGGAGAGCCGCUCAUUUUUUCAGGUAUCACUGUAUCCCUUGGCAAGAUGAUCAGGUCUGGUGCUGACAGGAUCUGCAGCGGAGCGGGGGAUCACAGCAUACAACAUGGUUUCCUGCACCAUGGACCCCCAAGGGGAGUGCAGAGACCCUCCUGGAGCUGGUGGUUCUGGUGACAACAACUGAGGAGACUUCAAUGGGGCCAGGAGUAGUGGCCCCCAUUCUCCGCAUGUACAGAAGGUAGCCCCAUGAACUGUGGUGACCAACACAUAGUGGGUCUGAUAGAGCCAGACAUCUACUACCUACUAAUGCUUAUUCAGGUUGGGUCACAGAAGGCUUUGACAAGGAAAUUACACAACAUUAAAAGAGACUUUACAUCUCUUGCAAGGAUGUAGGAGAGAUCAGGCGUGUAAGUAGUGUUCUCCUCUGUCCUUCUGUUUGGAGACUGGCACCUGGGAAGGAGGAGAAAAGGACAGGUGAAUGACUGGCUGUUUGGAUGGUGUUACAAGGUCAUGGGUUCUGUGAUCUUGGACAGGCCUUUGAGGCGCUGAGCAUGUUGACUUCGAGUGGGACAUAACUGGCUGGGUGGGGCAAGAAUAUUCUGGGAAGCAAGCUCUCUGGGCUGAUCAGCAGAGCUUAAAACUAGAUUUAAUGGGGAAGGGAUGUAGAUUUCUAAAUGACAGAGGAGGACUGGGCAAUGCUGUCACUUUAGGAAGCAGUGGGGAAAGACUUCCGAUUUGUUGCAGAGGAACUCAGGAGGGCUUCCUGAAGAAGGUACCAAUGCAAGCAGCAUGGGAAAUAAGCAGGAGAAGAUGGAAGCCAUGGCACAAUUAAAAAAACUGACCUAAUUGCUAUCAAGGAAACAUGGGAUGAAUUGCACAACUGGAGCACAGCGAUUGAGGGCAACAAGCUUUUUAGAAGAAACAGAUGGGGAUAGACGGGCGAGGGAGUUGCCCUCUGUGUUAAGAAGUGGAUAGACUGUGAAGACCUUUGAGAAACAGCCAUGAUCAGAUGGAGAGCUUGUGGGCAACAGCAGGGACUGGUCCAUUGAAGGACAUGUGGUGGUUGGGGUUUACUACAGGCUGCCUGGUCAAGGGGAGCCUGUGUAUGAGGCCUUCUUGCUACAAAAGGCUCUCAUCUUGAUGGGGAACGAUCAUGAAAACCCAGAUGUCUCCUAAGGAAGCAACACAAUGGGCUGCAAGUGAUUCAGGAUAUUCCUGAAGUGCAUGGGUGAAUAUAAAGGACGGAUCCAACAAAGGACAUCUGAUAUUAAAGGGGUCUCCUACAGACUGCCUGAUCAAGGGUAGCCUGUGGAUGAGGCCUUCUUGUUUCAGCUACAGGAAUUGUGUUCGCAGGCUCUCAUCCUAAUGUGGGAUUUCAGCCGUCGAGAUGUCUACUGGGAAAGAAGCAUGGUGGGUUGCAAACAAUCAGGGAGAUUCCUGAAGUGUUUGGAUGAUAACUGGUCCAGAUAUUAUACAAACCGGCCAGAGGAAAAACAUUACUGGAUCUGGUGCUCGCCAAUGCAGAGGAGAUCAUUGUUAAAAUUGAAGGCAGUCUGGGCUAUAGUGACCAUGCCCUGGUUGAAUUUGUGAUCUUGAGGAAUAUGGGCCUGUGGAAAAGCAAAAUCAGGGCCCUGAACUUCAGGAGAGUGAAGUUCUGUCUGAUUAAGGAAUUAUUAGAUGGGAUCCCUUGGGAAGCUGUCCUUAAGGACAAAGUGUGAGAGCUGGCAACUCUUUAAGGACACCUUUUUGACAGCACAAGAGCUCAGGAUAGGAAAACAAGCAGAGAAAGCAGGAGACUGGUAUGACUGAACAAGGACCUACUGGUCAAACUAAGGGAAAACAGAGAUUCUCUCCAGUAGUUCCCUGUCUUUCUUGAUUUGGGGUCCCAAAAUCUGGACACAGUAUUCCAGAUGUGGCCUUGUGGCUUCACCGGCGCAGAGUAGAGGGGGAGGAUCAUCUCCCUUGACCUGCUCACCACACUCUUUUUAAUGCACCCCAAGAUACCAUUAGCCUUCUGGGCCACAAGGCUACAGUGCUGGACCAUGAUCAACCUGCGGUUCACCAGUACACUCACAUCCUUCUCUGCAGAGCUCCUUUCCAUCAUAUCACCCCCUAAUCUGUACUAGUGCAUGCAGUUAUUCAUCCCCGUGUGUAGGACUUUACACUUGCCUUUGUUGAAUCUCAUAGGUUCCUUUCUGCCCUACUCUCCAGCCUGUUCAGGUCUCACUGGAUAGCAGCACAGCCUUCUGGUGUGCCAGCCACUCCUCCCAGUUUUGUAUUGGCAGCAAACUUGCUGAGGGUACAUUCUAUCCCUUCAUCUAUGUCCCUUAUGAAGAUACUGACUAAGACCAGACGCAGUACUGACCCCUGGUGAACGCUGUUAGCUACAGGCCUCCAACUGGACUCUGCAUCACUGAUCACAGCUCUCUAAGCUCUACUAUUCAGCCAGCUCUCAAUCCACCUUGCUCUCCGUUCAUCUAUCCCACGCUUCCUAAGCUUACCUAUGAGGAUGUAGUGGGAGACAGAGUCAAAAGCCUUGAUGAUGUCAAAGUUGAGAACAUCAUCUGCUCUCUGCUUAUCUAUCCAGCUGGUCGUGACAUCAUAGAAGGCUACCACAUUGAUUGAGCAUGAUUUCCCUUUGGAGAAUCCAUGUUCAAUUCUCCUGAUGACAUUUUCUUUCACUUAGAGAUGCUUGGAUUCCAUGCUUGAACAUGACAUCCAGAAUAAGUUUUCCAGCCUACAAGAUUCUGUGAUUCCAUUUUUUUGUGCUUGGACUAUGUUGCCAUCAAGGAUUUUCUGGUAAUUGCCAAGAAGUUGGGACGUUCUCCAUAGUACUGUUUUCAAAUUUGUCCCUAGUGAACUGUGAUACACAGUGAACUUUACGCAACAUCCAGCAUACCAGUAGGAACUCCGCACAGGGACUGCUUCAUGGAUAGAUAAAGUGGAGCAGCAACUUACAUGGCACAUGAAGUGCCUGAGUUUGUAGAGAUGCUGCAGAAGAGCACAGAGGAUUAAAAUAUUCUGUUGAAACUAAUGGGAAAAUAGAGGCAAAAGGUUGGAAAUGUUCAUAUUAUGAGCUAACAGCUUUUUUCCAGCCAUGUAGCAAACUCCUUUGUUUUGGGGCAUCCAAGCGUAUGAUUUUGAUCUUUAGGUCCACUCUGAGGCAGGGAAAAGAAAUCACAGAAAACAACUAAGAUAUGAAGGAAAGUGGAUUAGGGAUGGAAUGGUACAAUGCUGGGGAUAGAGAUCAGAUAUCUCAGAGAGAAGAGACUGGAGAGGUGAGGAGAAAGGGGGCUGUAACUGCUGGCCUUGCCUGUUUUAAAUCUGCUGCUGCUAGCAUCAUGUGUUGAAUGAGUCUCAGCAAUGUUAGAUUUCAUCCAAGUAACAAACUAGAGUAGCUUUUGAAUGAGCAGAGAUAAAGGGAUGAGAACACAUGGGAAUAUGUCUGCUGGAAGAUGAAAACUUGAUUCAGAAUUUCACUUUUCAAAAAUUGAAUGUUGUUUAAAAUUGUAAUUAUUUUUGUUUGCAUGUUUCUAAAUUGUUCACAGCGCAGGUGGGGACCCCUGCCUAGCAGAUGUAAACCUAUUAAAUGAAGUGCAGGCUCUGCUAUUUCAGCUGCCUCUUAAGGAUGCAUUAACAGUUUAAUUGUCCUCCUGUCCAAAAGCCCGUUUCCCAGCCUUAACUUCCCUGAUGGCCAUGAAUCAAACCAGAAGACGUCGAUGACAUUUUUAGGCAAGAAAAAAAUGUUUAGGGACGUAUCAUGUGCACUGUGUCCGGAAGGGGGAGAUGUUGCCAAACGGCAGGAGUAUUCGAACGGGAGAACACGAUGAAUGGCCUAAGGGCUGCAGGGGAGGCGGCCCGCUGUGGUAGUGGAGCAAGAGUUAGGGCCAGGCAGGUGGUGAGGGAAUGGACUGGAGGGGGGCAUGGGAGAGCUUUCUGGGGCCACCAGUGGAAUAAAACCCCACACGAUCAUCCAACACAAAAUCAGACAGAUAGCAAAGAAGAACUGAGCAGAGAGUGGCACUUCUGGGAAGAGGCAUCAGGUGCCCAUGGAUUUCAGUUCAGUCAUGAUAGUAAACUUAUCCACAGAGACUAGCAGAAAAUUUCAGAAUUGAGGCAGCAUUUGAGGAAGUGAGGAAAGAAGGGAGCUGUCUCUAAAAUAAUGUAGUGACUUGAAUUGCUGUGAAUCUCUUGCACUUCUGUGGUGUAUCACCUUAUCCCCGUGCAUCAGCAUCAGUGUACACUACUAAAGUUACACUGACAAAAGAGGAAGCAAGGCCUCUAUGUCGUACUAUUUUUUUUUAAAGAAAUGAUUUAGCACGAAAGCCUUACUGUGACUUAAGAAUGAUAUUUUCCUGUUAUAACUUGCCAAUGUCAGCCAAGUAGCAGGCGUGAGAAGGGACAAAAGGCUGAUGGGAAGUCAGAAAAUUGCCUAAAAACAGGAUCACUUUAGGGGCUUUUGUGAUUUCCUGUAAUGUGACAAAAACCAUCUAUUAUGUUUUUGCUGGAAAAUAUGUAGCUGAAGUCAAUGUAGCAGAAAAUAAAAGCAGCAAAAACAUACACAGGGUUGCUGUGCUGGAAUGAGAGUUGCGUUCCUUAUCGAGUUGGUCACAGAGAAUGGUGCCUGUUUAAAUUUCCAUAAAACAAAUCCUAAAGCAUCUGUCAUGCUGUAUUCUAACAUGUGUGCUGUUUCCUGUCAGUUUAAUUUUUCAUUAUCAGAAAGCCUUUGUUUAGAUAUAAGCAGCUUUUGUUACUCAGAUUCUCCAGCAUGGGUCCUUGCUUUUCUUUCCUUUCCCCGCCACAGUGGUGCUGGUUGUGGCCCGGGCACUGCCGUGAUGGUGUGGGCUGGCUCUGGAGUGCUCUGGCUCCAACCCCACUGCUCCAGAGGGCAUCAGCCCCUGCGUCUGAGCACCCUGCUUAUGUGUGGCUGCCCUGCUAAGAGCUGGCCUGUGGUACUGCCUUGAUUUUGCCAGGAAAGUCAAGAAAAUGCAGAAGUCAGUCCUACUUUCCCUUUGAGCCUUCAUAAAGGAGCUGCAUUGGGAGGACAAGAGGGGACCACGCACCAAGUGUUGUGUCCAUAGGUGGACAUGGCACUGUUGCCUGCAGGCUCCCCUGCUCCCUGCUGAUGAUCUAGUAGUGCCCGUCUCUGUGUCCACUCUGGUUUCUGCCUGGUGUUUCUGUGUUAUGUGGCUGUCACUUGGUUGUGGUAGUAGGAAAGCACUUGGAGCUGUUAUCAUUCCUCGUGACUGGAGGUCCAUGGAAGGUGCCAGCUCUACUUUGUUUCCUGUCAGGAGGGCUGGUGGGGCUCAGCAGCUGUUUCUCAUGUUCAUAGCCAAGGAGACUUUCCUAAUGGAUAAAGCCUGCUGACUAGGCCUUGUCAUCUUCCUCAUGGAUGCAAGAACCGCUUCAGGGUUUGGCCCUUUGAUGGGAGCAAUGCAUGCAGAAACUGAGUGUCUACCAGCAUCAUGUGUGUGGUUUGCUAAAAGGUUUUGCAGAGGGAAUACAAUCAGUGGAGUCUGGCAGAGCAAUGUGGUUUUGUAGGGAUAUGGAUGGUAAUGAAACUUCAGUCCUAGGCCAGUGGUUUAACCACAAGGUCAAUUUCUCAUUCAUUAGGACUUUGCUUAAUAAUAAAACCGAAGUAAAUACUUGAAAUUGUCUCAGAGAAUUUUCUGCAACGUUCCAAUCAAAAUUAAUCAGGUCCUGUGAAUAGAACACCCGAACCAUUGGAAAUGACUCACUGCUUUCUUUCCUAAGGAUGUAAAUCUGGAAUGUCCAACCUGUGGCCUGUGGUUCUCACUUGGCCCAGCACAGCUGGCAAUGCAGCCCACCCAGUACCACCCUCUUUAAAGGUGUCAGCUCUACCUUGCUGAGCGGCCCCAGCCAUGCACCCAUUGCUCAUGAACAAUUAAACCAACAGUGCGCUAUUAACAGUGUCAACUGAAGGGAAGGCAGUGCUGUGCAGUGCUGACUCAAGUUAUGGCAAAUAAUGUAUCAAAAUGCCUUCAACUGGCUAAAUACAGUGCUCUGAACAGCAAAGAAUACAAAGCCAUGCUUUCCUUUCUGAUAAAGGAAUUUGAGAACAGGUUUCAAGAUUUCCCCCCCCCCAAAAAAACCCCAUCAAUUUAUGUUUGUGACACCAUUUUCAGUUGAUAUAAGUACAUUACCUGCAAAUUUGCGAAUGGAAUAUACAGAGUUGUAGUCAGAUAACUCAAAAAUCUGAUCAAGUCUUUUUACCAGACUUUCCUAAUCCCUGCCUUCCAGAGAAAAAUAUUAUUCGCUUCACAAUCACACCUUAUUCAUAUAAUCAUUUCUUGGCAGUAUGCAUAUUUGUGAACUGUUUUCAAGGAUGAAGCAUAGGAAGAGUAAAAUUUCAUCAAAAAUCUCUGACGAACACCUUGAAACCUCACUAAGAAUUGCAACCACUGCUGCUGAACCAGGGUGAUGCAUUCAUU